GUUUGUUUCUGUCAGCGCGAUGCGUGCAGAUACCGGGUGGCUGUACCGACUCUGACAACGUAUCCUUGAGCCAUGUUUCCGUGAAACAGAGAAUGUUACAAUCUCUGAUGUCUCUCUGGAAGGCAACUCGUGCCCUAAUUUUGUUCACCUUGGAGAUUGGACACUGGUGAGUAUUAUGCUCGGGAGCAGUGGAUGGUGUGCUGAGUCUGACCAGUAGGCCGCUCCGUCUGCGGCGACCGCGUUGUUUUGGGUCGGCCUCUGGGAUUAGAUCCAGGGUGGAGGUCCGAACGAAGGAUCCACUUCGGGAAAGACGUAUUCCUGAUGGUAAGUUGAUAUCGCUUUUACAUCCAAUAGUUCUUCCCGGCUGUAUGUAAUAACACAUGAGAUUUUCUGGGGUGACGAUGUAAGAAAUAAUACAUAAAUAAACAAAUAACUGCGUAGUUUCCUAGGCGACCAUCUCUGUCAGCGCCAUCCCUCAACGUCAGCGAGUCAAAGGACCUGAUCGGGGAUUACAGGAAACAGAGGGCCGAGCACAUCCCCUUCCACAUCGAUGGGACUGUAGUGGAGCAGGUCGAGAGCUUUGUUGGUCAAUUUCUUCAACAGAUGAUCAGGUCUAUAUAGUUAUCAAACGUACAUUAGUAAUGGAAAGGAAACACAGACUCUUUGUUUAAGUAUUAAAAUACUCAUUUUUAGUAAUACAAUGGUAGGCAGACGGUUGGUAGGCAGACGGUUGGUAGGCAGACGGUUGGUAGGCAGACGGUUGGUAGGCAGACGGUUGGUAGGCAGACGGUUGGUAGGCAGACGGUUGGUAGGCAGGUUCUACAAUGGUAGGCAGACGGUUGGUAGGCAGACGGUUGGUAGGCAGGUUCUACAAUGGUAGGCAGACGGUUGGUAGGCAGGUUCUACAAUGGUAGGCAGACGGUUGGUAGGCAGGUUCUACAAUGGUAGGCAGACGGUUGGUAGGCAGGUUCUACAAUGGUAGGC
ensembl:lncRNA